AUGCCUGGAGGCUCAGAGGUCUCCAGUGAGCUAGAAAACAAGACAUCACGUUCUUCCCUGCCCCUGCCCCAGAGAGAUUUCCUGGCUUCUCAGCCUCUGUUUUCUAAUCUAAAACCACCUCUGGAGUGUCACUUGGAUGCCCCCUCACUUCCCAACGUUCCAUCCCCGCUGCCUGCCUUCUCCCGCCACCUCUGCCUUCCGCAGCCCGUUUCCAUCGAGGAAAAGGAAUCGUAUCGUAAGUUCGCUAUCCAGGACCUCCACUCUUUCAACUCCUUUGCUGAUGCAAGUAAGGGUGAUGACCUGCUUCCUGCUGGCACUGAGGAUUAUAUCCAUAUAGGAAUUCAACAGAGAAAUGGCAGGGAGACCCUUACUACUGUCCAAGGGAUUGCUGAUGAUUAUGAUAAAAAGAAACUAGUGAAGGCAUUUAAGAAGUUUGCCUGCAAUGGUACUGUAAUUGAGCAUCCAGAAUAUGGAGAAGCAAUUCAGUUACAGGAUGACCAACGCAAGAACAUAUGCCAGCUCCUUGUAGAGCUUGGACUGGCUAAGGACAAUCAGCUGAAGGUUCAUGGGUUUUAA